AAAAGAUUAAGUUAUUAAGGGCGCACGGUGGAUGCCUUGGCACUAGAAGCCGAUGAAGGACGUUACUAACGACGAUAUGCUUUGGGGAGCUGUAAGUAAGCUGUGAUCCAGAGAUUUCCGAAUGGGGGAA
rnacentral:rRNA from 1 species